GUGGGGAAUAUUGGGCAAUGGGCGAAAGCCUGACCCAGCAACGCCGCGUGAAGGAAGAAGGUUUUCGGAUCGUAAACUUCUAUCCUUGGUGAAGAUAAUGACGGUAGCCAAGAAGGAAGCCCCGGCUAACUACGUGCUAGCAGCCGCGGUAAUACGUAGGGGGCAAGCGUUGUCCGGAAUGAUUGGGCGUAAAGGGCGCGUAGGCGGCCCGGUAAGUCUGAAGUGAAAGUCCUGCUUUUAAGGUGGGAAUUGCUUUGGAUACUGUCGGGCUUGAGUGCAGGAGAGGUAAGCGGAAUUCCCGGUGUAGCGGUGAAAUGCGUAGAGAUCGGGAGGAACACCAGUGGCGAAGGCGGCUUACUGGACUGUAACUGACGCUGAGGCGCGAAAGUGUGGGGAGCAAACAGGAUUAGAAACCCCUGUAGUCC
rnacentral:rRNA from 1 species